AAUGGUCGGAAACCAUUUGAAGAGUGCAAAGGCAGAAGGUAGGUUGACUGCGACACCGACGGGUGGAGCAGGUACGAAAGUAGGACUUAGUGAUCCGGUGGUAUAACGUGGGAUUGCCAUCGCUCAACGGAUAAAAGCUACCCUGGGGAUAACAGGCUUAUCACUCCCAAGAGUUCACAUCGACGGAGUGGUUUGGCACCUCGAUGUCGGCUCAUCGCAUCCUGGGGCUGUAGCAGGUCCCAAGGGUUGGGCUGUUCGCCCAUUAAAGCGGUACGCGAGCUGGGUUCAGAACGUCGUGAGACAGUUCGGUCCCUAUCCGGCGCGGGCGGAGGAUAUUUGAGGGGAGCUGACCCUAGUACGAGAGGACCGGGUUGGACGGACCGCUGGUGUACCUGUUGGAGACCAACUCCAUCGCAGGGUAGCCAAGUCUGGAAGGGAUAAACGCUGAAGGCAUCUAAGCGUGAAGCCCACCCCAAGAUGAGAUAUCCCGUCCAAAAGGACAUAAGAUCCCUCAGAGAGUAUGAGGUAGAUAGGGCAGAGGUGUAAGCAGAGUAAUCUGUUCAGCUGAC
rnacentral:rRNA from 1 species